AGAGUCGAUGAAGACUUGUGGAAGACGUUUCAGGGUCUCAGGCAUUCAAGUUUUAGUUUUCACCUGAGAAAUUUCUUCGGUUGGGGUAUCGCAUCUCAUCU